rnacentral:rRNA from 1 species
AAGGUUUCCAGAGGAAGGCUCGUCCGCUCUGGGUUAGUCGGGUCCUAAGCUGAGGCCGACAGGCGUAGGCGAUGGAUAACAGGUUGAUAUUCCUGUACCACCUAACAUCGUUUUAAUCGAUGGGGGGACGCAGUAGGAUAGGCGAAGCGUGCUGUUGGAGUGCACGUCUAAGCAGUGAGAUUGAGUGUUAGGCAAAUCCGGCACUCUUAAGAUUGAGCUGUGAUGGGGAGAGGAAAUUGUUUCCUCGA